UACGUAGGGUGCAAGCGUUAUCCGGAAUUAUUGGGCGUAAAGAGCUCGUAGGCGGUUUGUCGCGUCUGCUGUGAAAACUGGAGGCUCAACCUCCAGCCUGCAGUGGGUACGGGCAGACUAGAGUGCGGUAGGGGGAGAUUGGAAUUCCUGGUGUAGCGGUGAAAUGCGCAGAUAUCAGGAGGAACACCGGUGGCGAAGGCGGUCUGCUGGGGUCGAACUGACGCUGAGGCGCGACAGCGUGGGGAGCAAACAGG
rnacentral:rRNA from 1 species